CUGGGUAAGCAAAGUCGAAUCUCCUAAGAACAUAAUGGAUGGAAAGGAGAAAACCUAUGGUGGCUGUGAAGGCCCUGAUGCCGUGUAUGUCAAAUUGAUAUCUUCUGAUGGUCAGGAAUUUAUUGUAAAAAGAGAACAUGUGCUAACAUCAGGAACAAUAAAAGCCAUGUUGAGUGACCCAGAUCAGUUUGCUGAGAACGAAACCAAUGAGGUUAAUUUUAGAGAGAUCCCUUCACAUGUGCUAUCAAAAGUAUGCAUGUAUCUUACCUACAAGGUUCGCUACACUAACAGCUCCACCGAGAUUCCUGAAUUCCCAAUUGCACUGGAACUGCUGAUGGCUGCAAACUUCCUAGAUUGUUAAAUAAAAUAAAUUAUAAUAAACUGUUAAUUUUUUUCAGUAUUUAAUACCUGUCGUUCAGUUAGUAAUUUUUUCAUAUAUAGCAUGUUGCCUGUAUGCCAUUGAACUAUAAAGUUCAUUGCAAAGCAGAUUAUCUUCUGUUUUUCGCAUAGCAAUCAGGGUUGAAAUUUGCUUGCUACAUCAACCAAUUAAGGACAUUUUCACAAAUAGAAAUAAAUAAAUAUGCCA